UCUUCUCUUCCUUCCUUCCUUCCUUCCUUUCCUUUUCUUUUUAAUUUUAGGCACUAUGUAGCUCUGGCUUGCCUGGUUGUACUUGACCAGGUUGUAUAUAGACCAGGUUGGACUUGAACUUACAGUGGUCUGCCUGUCUCUGCCUCCUGAGUGCUGGGAAAUAAGGCAUAUGCUACCACACCUGACCUCCAGUAUAGUCUCUGAAGGAAUGACACUAGGUAGACUUCAGAGACUCUGUCUGUUAACCAAAUACACAGGAAGUAAAUGUAUUGGUCCAUUUAUAGGUUGUUUGGGAGUCAACUCAAAGAAGUGUUAAAAAGUGUGUGUGUUUGUGUGUGUGUGUGUGUGUACACUUGCUCAUGCCUGCGUGCAUGCAUGUACGCAGGUACAUGUGUACUCGUGCACACCUGUAUGCUACAGCAUGAUUGUGAAGAUCAGAGGACAACUUGUAAGAGUCUCCUCUCCUUAAUUCUGUGGGCCUCAGAGAUCAGACUCAGAGUAAGCACCUCUCCCUGCUAAGUCAUCUUGUUGACCCUAACAUUAAAACAGAAGUUCAUACAAGUAUAUCUUGUUCUAGUAAGUAUAGUUUCCCCUGUCCUCUCUGCCUGUUGUAAGAAAAUAACCCGAAAAAAUCACUAAGGCAGGAGGUUAAUUUUGGCCCACAGUUUGAGGUUAUAGGCUAUCUGGCAGGGGAGUAGGGGAGUCACAGUAGUGGGAGCUUAGGUCAGGUGCUUACAUUGCAUUCCAGAUUCAAAAGCCUUGCCUCAGUCAGCUUUCUGCUUUCUGUAAAGUCCAGGGAAUGGUGCCACCCUCAGUGGGCAGGAUUCUUCUCCUUCAUUAACCACAAUAAUCUCUCCCAGGCAUGCUGGGGCAUCACUCAGAUGGUUUUCUCUGUUAUUAGUUGACAAUUGAGAUUAACCACCAUACCCCCUACCCUCUCUUUCUUAACCCUUCUUUAUCCUAUUUGUCUCCUCUGUCCAUAGAUGGUUCCACAUAUUCUUUUAUAUCUUAUAUGUCACACUGGCUAGUUUAUGUCAACUUGACCCAGGCUAGAGUCAUUUUAGAAAAGGGAACCUCAAUAGAGAAAAUGCUCCACCAGACUGGCCUGUUGGCAAGCCUGCAGUGCAUAUUCUUCAUUGAUAUUUGACGAGGAAGGGCCCAGAUUACUAAGGGCAGUGCUACCCACUGGCUAGUGGCCCUGCAUUGUAUAAGAAAGUAGGCUGAACAAGAAACUAUAGAGAGCAAGCCAGUAAACAAUGUUCCUCCAUCAGCCCCUGCCUCCACGAUCCUGUCUUGAAUUCAUGCCCCGACUUCCCUCAGUGAUGGAGUGUGACCUAGUAACUAUAAACCAAAUUAAAUCUCUCUUCCUCAUCUGCUUUUGGCCAUGGUGUCUUAUCAUAAUGAUAGAAUGCCUAACUUAAGACACACACACACACACACACACACACACACACACACACACACACGAUUUUGUGUAUCUAUAUAAAAUCUAGAAAUCACAAAAGAGAGAUAUUUCUCAAAAACUGAAAAUAGGUCUACCAAAUGACCUCGCUAUACUGCUCCAGGUAUCUCCCCAAAGGACUCCACGUGGACACCUUAAAGGAAUACUUGCACACCCUGUUGUUGUAGUACAAACCACUACAGCUAUGUUACGGAACCAGCAUAGGUGUCCAACAGUGGACUGGAUAAGAGCACUUGGCUUACAUGGAAUAUUUUGGCUGCAGAGAACAAAGUUAGGUUGUUUGCAGGAAGAUGGAUGCUGAGACUCGUACUAAGUUGUUCAAACCAGUCUCGCACAGAAGGGUUUUUACUAGAUUUUGAAACAUAAACAACUGAGAUCCGUCUGUUGAUUCACAUGAACAUCUGGUUAGAUGCUUAAAUUAGGGUCAAGGGGAGAUUCUACCACACUAAUGUACCAAGAGAGGCACGUUUGGGGUGGGGAGUGGAGCUUAGUUGGUAGAGCACUUAUCUAGCACAUGCUGAGGUCUAGGUUCAGCCCCCAGCACUACAUAAAUAGAAUGUGGUGGUUCAAGUGUUACCUCUGCACUCUGGAGGUGGAGGCAGGAGUUUAAGGGCAUCCUUAGCCACACAAAGACCUCAAGGCCAGUCUGUGCUGUAGGAGAUCCUGUGUCUCAAAGAAAAAGAAACCAUUUUGGUUCAACAUGAUAAGGUGUUAUCUUCUAAGUGGCUGUGUGUCUUAGGACUCUUAUCUGGGUAAAGUCCUGUUUGUCCAGCUUGUGUUUAGGGAUGUAUAAACAGCGCCUUGGCAGCCAUCUUUUACUGAGUUUUGUACUGUUGGAUAGCCUGGUUCCUCUCGUCCUUCUGGAAACCUCCAGACACCUAUGAUUCAGGCUGGGUGUGUCGUGCCCAAGGUCACUCACCUGGAUUCCUGCCCAGGUCCUUGUUCCAGGCGUAACUAUCCAGGCACCUUGGAACUUAGACACACGGUCGAGCAGUAAGCCCAGGGCAGCAGGUUUUAAUAGGGAUCGUUGUAUAUGGACCACACCAGCUGCUCAUGAUAGUUUAGUUGACCCAUUCAUUCAUAGGAGAGAGUGCCUCUAUCUUAUUUUUGAGACAGGGUGUCUCGUUGACCUAGAACUAAUUGAUUAGGCUAGGCUGCUUGGGCCCCAGGAAUUCAACUGUCUCCGUCUCUCCAGCAUUAGGAUUACAAGCGUGUAUCACCAUGCAUGGUGCUUUCACAUGUAGGGGUAGAACUUGGGUCUCACAUUUGGGUGGCCAGCACUUUACUGACUGAGCCAACUCCCUGGCUUCUUGCGUUUUCUGCUUAACUUAGAUUUUCAGCUGACAAUGGGUUUACAGAGAAUGUAAAUGAUGUAAGUAUUGCGCCCAGAGGGUUUUCAGCCCCAGUCCUAAGUCCAUAACAAUCAAACCACAGUGGUGAGAGGCAGAUGAAGACACCGCAUCUUUCCCAGCUCUGCCAGAGAAUUUUAGAGGACAGCCGCUACUCAUACUCAUUUUCCUUUUACAUUUUAUUUUUUCGUUUUUAAGUAUAUAAGUGAUCUGUCUUCACACACACCAGAAGCAGGAAUCAGGUCCCAUUACAGCCACCAUGUUGACUCACAUGUUGCUGGAAAUUGAACUCAGGAUCUCUGGAAGAGCAGCCAGUGCUCUAAACCGCUGAGCCAUCUCUCCAGCCCCCAUUCAUACUCUUUCUGGUUACAGCUCCAUACAAGAAGGUUACUUUCGCAUCAUCUUAGACUGUCAAAGGCUUUUGACUAGAGAGGUGUUGGGGGUGGUCUGUGCCAGACCUCUCCUUCUUCUGGCCAAUCUCAUUUCCUUUUUAUUUAGCACAUGGCAUAAGGUCUUCUCUGGUGCUCCAGAGCAUCCUGGUUUCUUUGUGCAUAUACUAUAUCUGUGUGUUCAUGUAGGUGUGUUGAUUUGUCCACACAUGUAGAAUCCAAAGGUCAGUGCUGCAUGCAGUCAUUCAGCACCUUGCCUUUUGAGUGUGGAUCUCUUACUUGAACUUGGGGUUCCCCAUUUGUCAAUGGCUCACUGACCAGGGGGCUCCAGAAAUCCCCUUGUUUCUGUUCCCAUCCUUAUUCCCCACCCACUUCUGUGGUUUUUAGGACUGUGGCCUGAUUGGUGAUGGGGUGAUGGGGACCCACACUCAGGUCACCAUGUCAUCUAGCAGUUGCCUUACAGAUUGAGAUGCCUCCUCUGGUCUAGCCCCAGGUUUGGUAGCAUGUGCUGGACAGUCCCUGUGUCCACAGCAGCAGUCUGUGUCCUGCUCUGAAGAAGGCCAUAGGCAGGUCUUUCUCCUUCGAGGCCACACACACAGGGUCUUAGCCAUAGCUGCUUGCUAUGGAGAGUGACACAGAAAGUAUGUGGUGAUCCAGUAGGACCGCGUGACAUUAAUGCAAGCAGGGGGCAGAUGUGGCUCUGAGUUUUAGUUUGCUAGUUUUUCUUCUAGCUGACUAAGGGCUUUAAGCUGAAUCUGCUUAAGGAUGAACGACUCUAGCCUCACUUGGGUAUAAACUUCAUUUCCUGGGUCUGAGGAGAUAGGUUAGUCAUUGUAGUGCUUGCUAGGACGACCCAAGCUGGUUUCCAGAAUCUAUGAGAAAAAAGCCAAGCAAAGAGGCACGUGCUUGUAGUCCUUUCUCCAGGGGGAAUGAAGACAGUAGAUCCCUGGGUCCUGAUGGACAGCUAGCCUAGCCUCCUUGGUGAGCUGAGCCCCAGACCAUUGGAACCUGCUUGUAAAAACUAGGUGAGGACCAACACCCCAAGUUGUCCUUGGCCUUUACACUCCUACACACACACAGACACACACACACACACCUUUUUAUGUUUAUUGGUGAGUGAGGUUCAGAGAGUCUCUGCUCCAUGCUUCCAGGUGUCAUUACCAAGUAUAGUGGCAAAGCCCUGACUAGAGACCCUGGAGACUACCUGCUCCCCUUUUCGGAUAUCCCCAAAGUCUUCUGUAGCCAGGGCCUGGUGGGGUGGCUCCUGGGAGAGCCAGAAAGCAAUGUGCAUAGCAUCCAGGCACCUCAGGUUUGUUCUGGUUUGGCCUAUUCUGUCACUAGGGAACUUAGGGCCUUUAUUGACUUUCUGGGGCCUUGGUUUCCUGAUGGAAUCUGGCCAGUGGGUGGGUUCACGGGUGUGCAGAUCUUCCCUGGUGUACAGUCUGCUUUCCGUGGCAGAUCCUUCACCCUCGAUAUUCUUUGCUGGUUAGGUUCCAGGCAGAGUCCUUGGACUACGUAGCUCAUGUGACAGGUUGUUUUCUGGAUUUUUCCUUAUUGUUAGAGUUCAGGCUGAGUGAUUCAGUGUGGUCCCUGACAUGGUUCUGUAAUCCUCUCUGUGUUACCGGGGGAAAUCAGAGGCUUAGGGAGACUAUCUGAGACCAGAUGGUCAGAGAUACACCAGGAAUCCAGGUAGACACAGGGUCUCCAGCCCUGUAGCCCUGCUGUUUCCUCAUGGUGCUUUGGCUUCUCUGAAGGUGUGUGUGUGUGUGUGUGUGUGUGUGUGUGUGUGUGUGUGUGUGCGCGCGCGCGCGCGUUAUGUACAUGCGCAUGCACAUGCACACAAGCCUACCUGCCGGUCUGCAUGUGUAGGCUGGUGAUGGUAAUUUGAUUUUGACUGUUCUAAGCAUAGAUGGGAAGACCGGUGGAGGUGGCUAGCUGAUCCAGUUUGCUGAGCACAGAGGGCAUUCCUGGGGCAGUCUUGUGCACACCUGGCUGAGUCAGCCACUCAGGCUCAGGCUGGCCCUGGGGAUCCUGCAAGCAAAACAGUGUCUGCACUGUUAGGCUCGGUAGGCUUACCCAGAAGCAAAUGAGAAGCCAGCACAGAAGCUUGUCACUCACCUUUGUAGACUAUAGUCUGUGUGUGUGUGUGUGUAUGUGUUGUGGAUGUACAUGCACAUGUGUGCACUUGUGCAUGGAGACCAGAGGACAACUUUGUGCCAUUCCUUGGGCAUUGUCACUCUUUCUCCAGGGAGCAUCUCUUGCUGACCUGAUGCUCACCUAGGCUUUUGCCAUUGAGUUCCAGGGGCUGCCUGUCUACAGCCCUCAGCUCUUGGGAGUUUAAGCCCCACACUAUUGUACCUGCUUCGCCAUGUGGUUUCUGGGGCUCAGACUCGGGUCCUCCUUCUUGAAAAGCAAGCACUAUACCCACUGAGCUAUCUCCUUAGCCUGUAAAAUGUCAUUUUUAAUGUGUCUGUGGAGGAAGGGACACACAGGAAUACAAACUCCGGGAUCAGCUCUGAGGAAGAUAUGCAGAGCUGACCAUUCAGGGAACUGGGAAGAAGAGAUGGGUCACUGGCUACCCAAGGAGAGGGUGGUGGGCCCAGAGCUGGAGGAGGCAGAGUACCCUCCCAGCAUCCAGUAAGAGGAGGGAGGCAGAGCCUUGGCAGUUCCUGAGCCUGGCAAGCCCUAAGAAUUCCAGUGAGGGUGAUGACAAGCUGAUGGGCUCUCAGCGUGGGAAGCCCUGUACCACUCUGAUGGCCCUCCGGGAGUGAGCUGGGAGACCCUGCCUCUCAGAUGUGCCUACUGGGCCACGUGGGGGCAAGAAAUGGCAGUGGUGUGUUCCUGUUCUAAGCCAGGUGGCUGAUUUAAUCCAGCUGAGGCCAGGGCCUCUUCAUGGAGGCUUAGAAGACAGCUGGGUCUCUGCCAAGUCCUCCUCCCUACCACAUGGGGCUACAAAGCCCAGAAAGGGGGGAGAUCUGCUUGGGGGGGGGGGUUGUAGCAGAUGUCACCAUGGUGAACGCUUCUUGUUUAUCUUUUAUUAAUGGCAGGCGCUUAGGCUCAUGCAGGGGCAGUGCUCAGAGCAGCCCUUUGGAGCAAGCAAGCAGACCGCUCUACCAAGGCGGCCUCCCUCAGAAGCUGGGGAGGAAAGAGCAGGCAUGGAUAAUACAGGCUGUAUCUUGACGGAGCUUGCUGGACUGCUGUGCACACCUGAGCCAGAGCUAUGGAUGCUUUUGGAUCCUGAACUCGAGAAUGGUUUUCUCACCUCCUGGGAUGGGGUGGGAUGGGACAGAAUGGGUGUGGCCAGCUGAAACCCUGCUCUGGCCUGGGCUUUACCAGUAGCCUGGACUCUACACUCCCCUGUUCAGAACUGUGUUGCACCAUUCUCUGUCUCAUUAGACCUGUAGAUGUGCACCCAGAGAGGGAGGACGCAGUAGCUGUGUAGGUUAUCUGUAAGGAAGUGCUGGCCUCCUGAGUGGCUCUGCUCUUUCCCAUGCCUCCCUCAUGUGUGUGUGUGUGUGUGUGUGUGUGUGUGUGUGUGUGUGUGUGAAUGUUCAGGUCAGAGGACAACCUCAGGUACUAGUCAUUCUACACUAUUGUUCAAAACUGAGUGUGCCAGGCUAAGCUGGCUCACAAACUGAUGGGUAUUCUCCUGUCUCCAAGUUCCAUUUGGCAUUGCAGACACCUGCUAUCGUAUCUGGCUUUAUAUAGGUUCCAACGAUCUGGACUUGGGUCAUCUGCCCUGCCACACCUUUCUCAGUCCUUGGGUAGAGGUAGAGUAUCCAGACAAGAACAUGAACACUGGAACCUGUUUCCCAUCUCUUGUUCUGUCCUGAAAAAGGAUCUUGCAGCAAGAGCUGCUGGGGAGGGAAUGGGCAGAGAAAGUUAUCUCCUUGCUUUUUUGGCCUUUUCCUGCUACAAAUGGUGAUGACUUUAAGUUCCUAUGGAGAAUAGCUAGUCGUUGGCCAAGAAGGCCACCUGUGCCAAUGGAGAUAAGUGUGCUGUAACCCUGGGAACAAGUGACAGGAAGAGAGAAGGAAGGAAAGGAAGAGGGAGCCCGGGUGUCACCUCUGAGCUGCUGAUUGGCCAUCUGCCUUGUCAGAGCAGUGAUGGGAGUACAGGACUGCCGGGUGUUGUUCUCAAUCACUUUGAGGUGGAAUGAGCGAUGUGGGAGGGAAUAAGCAGCGGCCACCGUGUGACUGAGUAGUGGAAUAUCACUCAGCCCGAAAAAUGAGGCGACCCCACACUGCAACAUGAAGGGUGUACAGUGAAACAAACCAGUCUCAAAAGCACAGGCACAGAAUGACCUGACCCUCAACUAUUCAUAUCCCGAAAGUAGGAAGAGCAUGAUUGUUGGCAAGAGUUGGAGAAAGAAGGAGAUCGGGGUCUCUGAGAAGCCCAGACAAAUGGGCUGUCUGUGGCUUUGUCUCAAAACAAACAAACAAACCCAAACAACAACAGGGAAAUUAAAUCAUUAGCAUUGAUAUCCCCCAGGAGAUACUAGAAGCAUUACGUGUCUGAAAUAAGAACAGGGUGCUACUAAGUAAGAGUGUAUACAACAACAACUUUUAAAUAAAAGGAUGAUGAUUGAAAUUAAAAGCUCAUUAAACAAGUGGAAGGUGAGAUUUCAUGGAGAGCCUGCAGCAGAAGAACAAAAAGACAGAGGAAGAUCUGAAAGGAGUGUUGGGAAAGGCAGAACUUGAAAGCAAGUCAUGAAUCCCGUGACUCAUAGGAGUCUGAGUUACUGAAACACAAAACAGACGGGAGAAGAUUAUGAAAGAAUUUUUACAAGAGAAUUGACCAUAACAGAAUGAUAAAAAUCUCUGCAUUGAAAUAGCUCUGACUCUACCCAGGAUUUUAAAAGGAACAGCGAAAGAGUCUGAUUUAAGCAAUUUAAUUGUGAAAUUUCAAUAACCAAGAAUAAAACAAUAUUUUGAAAAACUUCUAAAGGAAGGGAGAACAAACAGAAGACAGAAGUUGUCUAUAGGGGCGGAAGGCUCAGCUGGGAAGUAGCACUGGACAGAUCAGGCUGUGGACUUGGGGCUGGGGACCUGAGUUUGGUCUUCAGAAUUCACAUAAAAAGCCAAGGGCAGCACCAUAUACCUGUAAUCUCAGAACUGUAGUGGCAGAGGCAGGAAGAUCCUUGGGGCUCGCCCACCACCACUCUUCCUAAACUCAUGAGCAACAAAUUCGGUUUUAUUUAUUUUAUAUUUGAACGACCAGAUGAACCUUCUCCAGAGCCUAGGGGUGCAUAGGCACUGUUGGUGCUGAGAUGUCUCGAAGACUGUGACUUAGAUCUGACAACUGCCCUUGAAAUCUGUCGUCUUGUCUGUUCCAUCUUAUGACCCACGGUGAAGGAAAAGGCCUGUAUAGGGUCCCCAAGCAAGGGGAGGACAGCAAAGUACCAGCUGGACAUUGGACACUGGACUAUACCACUGCUGUCUCUGCUUUCAGAAUAAUCAUCUGUAUUGACCUGAUGCUCACAGUGGAUGUGUUUUUAGUGAAAGGUGUGUGGAGGGGAACUAACAGAGCCAGGUGUGGGAGAGCUGUCAGGAACACUGCUGAAGUGUGGAAGCCUCAUGGGCUGGCACGGAGGUUUUCUGAGGAAGUGUGGUAUUUUACCUGGCACCUUGACACAAUAUAAAAUCAAUACUUUGAAGAGAGCCUUAGUUGGGGAUUGUCUGGAUCCACUUGGCCUCUGUGCGUGUCAUCCUGGUUGUGGUAACCGAUGUGAGAAGACCCAGCCCCCUGUGGGUGGCACCACUCUGAGUUUGGGUCCUAAAUUGUAUGACUAGAGAGAUGAGCUGAGCGGUAGAUGUGCAUGCCUGCCUUUCUCUCCACUCCUGACUGAAGCAGAUUUGGCUAGCCACCUUAUCCGUUUGCUGCCUGGGUGGACUAUAACUUGGGAGUUUUGAGCUAAAAUGAACCCUAUCUCCCCUAGGUUGUUUUUUUGUAAGGACAUCCUAUCACAGCAACAGAAAUGCUAUGAGGGUAAUCGGGAAUUCUAGAGUCACCAAGCUUGUCCAGUCGGAGGGGGAGGGGCCAUCCACUAUGGUCACAUCUUAGGAAAGUACUGUGGUCAGUAAAGGUGAUCCAACUGUGGCAAGAUAUCUACAGGGGAUGGAAACUUUUAACUCCCUGCUCAGGGGAGUAGCUGAGGCCUAGAGGGAUUGGGUCCAUUCUGUGAGACUGUUUGCAAGGCUUGGGCUUAGAGUGCAAUUGUCUUGGAGCCUUGAGGGAAUCUGCUGCAUAGAGGGAACUUGGAGGCAGGUCCUGAGCUUGGGUUUCUGUAGGGAGUCCAGAGAGAAGGAGGAACUGGAGCUUGGAGAAUUUCUGUUCAGACCUUGGAAAAUCACAGAGAUACUUGAAAGCUGGACUCCUUGCCUCCUAAGUCUUCUUGGUGAGAUCGAACCAGGGUGAGGCCAAGUCAGACUAGAAAAGGUGCUGGUACAUGUACAACCUCCUCCUCAGGUCCUCAGACUCCCAUGACACUUGUGAGACCAGCAGACUUAGGCAGGACGGAGGGAUGAGUGCUUAUGAGGUACCACUCAGAACCAGGGCCAGCAGCAAGCUGUCCACGCUUGGACAGAGCAGGCAGGUCUUCCUGCCACUGGCUUGAGCAAGGCUUCUCUGCCCACAGGUACCUCUUUUGCCUCCUCAGCCCAUUUGGAGGCAAAGCCUAGAACUCCACUAUAUGUGCACAUUCCUUUGGCUUGGAAUACCAGUGACACCAUUAUAGCCACCAAAUACCUCUGAUUUAAACUGUAGAUACCCCCGUGAGUUUGAGUUGUUACCAGUUCUAAGUGUUCUCUAUGCCUUGAUAGGUCAACAGGACCAUCUUCCAUUAACUGAACAGCCAGUCAGCAUUCACUCAUUGUGCCCUAUGUCCUGGAGGUUGUCCUAGCUCUUGGAGGCAAUGAUGGUCUAUAUCCUGCCCACUACUUUCUUGGGGGUGAAGGGAAUUAGAAAAGAUGAUAUGAUGGUAGAGUCUGUGAAACUGCCAAGGGAAGAAACACAGGGACACGGGUAGUGUCAUGUGUCCUUGGGCAAGCUACUCUUAGCAAAGACUGUGCAGGUCUAAUGCCAGCUCUCAGAGGUGCUUGGUACAGGCUUCCCCAAGUGGAAACGGGGACUGGCUGGGGCUAAAAAGAUGCUGGUUAGAAAGCAUGAGAGUGAGCUCAGGCUACCAAGAGCAGGGCAACCUGACCAGGCCAGAUCCUGGAGACAUGAGCAUGGAAAAUGAAUGCUUUCUGGCUGCAGUGACUAAGACCUGGGAAAGACAGAGAAGAAGAGGUGAGAUCUCAGAAGGACAACUCCAUGUCUCCAUCCCGCUCUGGCUCUUGGUGUGUAUUGGUUUCACUCUGCUCUUGACUGUGGAUGGGCUAUGACCAGCUCCCUUGAUUUCCUGCAGUGAUGGACUGGAACCUGGAAUUGUAAGCUAAGUUAAACCCUGAGUUGCAUGUGGAGGCCAAACUGGGUGUCUUCCUUGGUUACUUUUCACCUUGAUUUUCAAGCUAGUAUCUUUCACUGGACCCAGAGCUCCUUUAUUAUGCUAGUGUGGAUGGUUAGCAAGCCACAGGUAUCUGUCUCCACUAGGGAUUAAAAAUGUGCACCACCAUGUCUGAUUUUUUUGCAUGGGUUCUGGGGAUCAAAAGACAAAGCCUCAUGCUUUAGGGUGUGCUGUUUAGUUUUAACUGGAGGGUUUCAGUUGAGCAAUUCUCUAGAACAUGUUAGCCUAUGGGCAUGUCUGUGGGGGAUUAUCUUGCUUGCUAAUUGAUGUAAGAAGACCCAGCCAAUUGUGGGCGGUACCAUUCCCUGUUUAGGGGCCUCGUACUGUGUAAGAGCAGAGAGGGCUGACUGAGUAGUAAGCAGGCAGCAUGCGUGUAUUGGUUUCGCUCUGCUCUUCACUGUGGAUGGGCUAUGACUCGCUCCCUUGAUUUCCUGCAGUGACAGACUGGAACCUGGAAUUGUAAGCUUAGUUGCUUUUGGUCAGGAUGUUUUAUCACAGGAGCAUGAAGGAAGCUAGUACACAUGGCAAGUGCUUUCCCGAUCCAGCUUUCAUCCCAACCCAAGGCUUAGUGAACACAAGGCUUGUGCUGCAUCCUGACUCAGGACCAGGACCAGGACCAGGCAAGUUUGUGUUUUCUGCCAACUUUAGAUGCUGCUGAUACUGCUUGACAUUGUUGGUCCUUGACCAGUUGAGAAAAGCCUGAGAUUCAGUGGGGAGAGUGUGGGCCAGGCAGGGCUAGCUUGGGGCCAGAUUGUUUCAUAAGCUGGGUGGAGCAAUGCUGCUCACUCACACAGAACAAGAUCCCCAUGAGGCCAUCUGGGGAAGACCUACAGUCCCUCAAAUAUCAUCUGAGAGGCCAUCCAUGCCAGAAUCUUUGGUAACCCAGCCGACGAGCAGAGACACACAACCUACAAGGUAUGCCAGCUCACCAGAAAAGCUGACAGCUCUCACUGGAGUGACUGACAGCGUAAAGGUGCCCAGGGAUGCUCUAACAGGGAAGAUGCAGUGUAGAUGGUUCUCUUAGAAGAGUGAAGGCCUCUCAGCUGUGGGCUGAUCCUGGAGGUGCCAGAGGCUGUGCAUUGCUUGCUUGGUUUUUUUUUCCUGUUUCUUUUCUUUUUGAAACAGGGUAUCACUAUGAAACUCUUGGUCUCUCUCUCUUUCUCUUUGUAAAAUUACAUUAUUCAUUCAUGGGGGCAGCUGUGUGUGCACAUAAAGGCAGCAGGCAGGGAAGGUGUGGAGUCUCCUAGAUGUGGAAAUGGUAGGAAAACUGGGAGAAGUGAUGAGGGGGAUGCAGCUAAGUGAUAGAGUGAUCUCCCAGCAUGCACAAACCCCCUGGAGUAUUCCACCCCAACACCACAUAAACCUGGUGUGGUAGCCUAUGCGUCUUAUCCCCUCACUGAGAAAGUAGAGGCAGGAGGAUCAGGGGUUCAAGGUCUAUAUAGGGAGUUUGAGACCACCUUAAUCUACAUGAAACCCUGCCUCAAAAAAACCAAAGGAAUAAUGGAAGUUGGUCUUUCGUCUAUCUUUCUGGUAGGUCUAGAAAACAAUCCCAUGGUGCCUCACUGGACAGAUUGGAAAAGGGAAGCUAGAGAGGUUAUAUGACCACCUUCAGGUUCCACUGAUACCGAGCUGAAGAAUCAUUACCCUCGCCAUGGCUGUCUGCCCCUAGAUGGCUGUCCUCAGCUACUGUCUGAACCACUCGUUAAGGCACAUGCAGGACCUAAAAUGUGUUCAGGAAAGGCAAGUGUAUUGUUUAAACGCUGGCAGAUACCACUUGCAUAGUGCCUGCUUUGAGCCAGGCAGCUGAGGUUUCUCCCGGCCGUUUGCUAAUAGCAUGGCCAUUGUGCUUGCCUGCUUGCAAAGGGGAUGUCAAGAGGCGGGGAGUGUAGCUCAGUGGGUAGUGCCCAUUGAGAAUGAAUGAUGCCUUGGGUUUGAUUCACAGCAUUGCAUAUAAACCAGGUACAGUGGUGCAUGUGGAAAUUCUAGCACUCAGGAGACAAAAGAAUCAGUUCAAGGUCACCCUGGGCUUUGUAGUAGUGACUUCUAGGCUACCCUGGGAUACUUAACCUGGAGACCUGUCUGAAGGGAUUGGGAGAGGGGGCAGAUCAAGGCUCAGAGAGGCAUGCUACCUGUGCAGGCUGGUGUCACUGGAGCUUGACCUAGGCCACUCACCCCAGAGCCCGUGUCCUUCCUGACUUCUUUGCUGCUUUGCGGACCCGCCAGAGGCGCUGGAGGUCUUUAACCAUCUUGUUCCCUGUGGCCUGUGGGCUUCCUGCAGUCAAAGCCUGGAAUGCUCUUAACUCACUCUCCACUGGAGAUCCAACCAGAGCUCAUAUGCAGGGGCCCAGGCUGGAGGAUAGGUUGGGCUGAAAGCUUCUUGGGGUAGGCAGUACAGCUUACAUAGAGAGAUCAUGAUGGAGGCUGGAGCUGUGGGCUGCUUUCUACUGUAGUCCAUCCAUGUUCCAGCUUUCACAUGCCUGUCGAUGGGGCUGGGCCCAGAUUGGCCUAGGACCAUGUACUUGUGUCAAGGAACAAGCUCAGAUGCCCGUGACAUCUCUAGAGCCCCCAGAACCCUCAGGAAUCCAGAGUCCUAUGGAUUGCCCUUCUGAGCACGUGUCCUAAGCACCUGCCUGACACUCCCAACCCCAAUCCCGCUUCAAGAUCACCCUGCUUUCUAGUGGGAAACUGAAAUGCAAGUGCAUGGACCACUGAUGGAUUGUGGGUGCAUUUGGCUCACACUCAGGCCUGGAGGGAGCAGGCAUGCUCUGAUAGAACUGGGCCCAGAGGCCCUUUGAUUUCUAUCAAGGUAAGUGCUGCCUGAACAGGCAGGGCUAAUAACGGCGUAGGCUGGGGGCCUGGAAAAGCCAGAACCACAAGUUAUCCUUCUAGGCCCCAACUCUGCCAGUCUAGAGCCCAGGGGGAUUCCAUGGCAUACUCCAGUGUGAAGACACUGUGGACCAGCGUCUUCCAAGCCAUUUUCCCUCCUCUCAGUGCUCCUACAGGAGACCAGGGAGGCCUUAGGUGAAAGGGCUAUGCAAGAGGAAAGAGGGCUGAGGUGGGAACAAGGUAGAGAUACAAGGAUGAUGCUACACUAGAGAGUUCUGUCUAUCUGUCUGUCUGUCUAUCCACACCCAGCCAGUCAUCCAUCAUAGGUACAAAGCUCUGUCUGUCUAUCUGUCUGUCUAUCUGUCUGUCUGUCUAUCUACACUCAGCCAGUCAUCCAUCACACAUACACCCAUCUCCUUACUCAUUUACCCAUCAGCUCCCCCAUACUCACCUGCCCACUCAUCCACUAAUCCACCAUUUCUCCAUCCUUUUACCACCCACUGAUCCAUCCAUCCACCCACUCACCCAUCUACCCAUUUUUCCAACCAUCCUCUGACCCACACACACAUUUGCCCAUUUUCAAUCCAUCCACUCACCAACCCUUCCACCCGCUCAUCUACCCACCCACUCACUGAUCUAAUGCAUUUUGUUGUUGUUGUUGUUAACGACCUUCUUUGUUAUUGCCAUUUUCAUCCAGGUUGUAUUGCAGGGUAGUUUCUAGCAUGCUGGCCACCCCUCCUUCCUUCCCUUGCUCUUUCCCUGAAUGCUAGGAUUGCAGGUGAGGGCCACCAUGCCUGACAUCUACUCAUUUUUUUCUGAUCUCUGUUCUCUUCCCCUCUCCCUCCCUGUCUUUCUCGCACACACACAUGUGUACACACACACACACACACACACGCUGAUACUGGCUCCUAGCCCUUCAGACUACUUUCUUGUGAUUCUUCUUGUCCCUCGUUGUGACCCACCUAAGACUGAGAGCUCGUUUACUGUGAUCACAGCUGCUUCUAACUCCCCAUGUCUUUCUGAAAGCUUGACUUGAAGAAGUCACUCCGGACAUCUUUCUCCGGUCAGUGGAAAAGUUAGUAGUGAAUGUCUGACAUGAGUCUACGGUGGGGAAAACAGGGGUGCAUGUGAUACAGCCAAGCAAGGGUAGGAUUGACUCCUGGGGCUGAUGCCAUCUGUGUGGGUUGGGAACAAUCACCUGACCUGAACCUCGGUGCCUCUGUUGGUCAUGAAACAGCACACAAACCUCUCUGCACGGUGCAGUGCCCUGGUGGAUGCUCCUGUGGUACCUGGCGUGCGGUUGGUCAGUACUUGAUGGUCUCCCCUCCCCUCUGCUCAUACCCAUUGGUGUGAAGGUGCAUCAGGGCCACCGUGUUUAGGAGAACUCAGCAGAGCCACACAAUUCUUGCUGAGGCCAAGGUCACCCAAGCCAGGAUCAAGCAGGUGAGCAGCAAAAAAAUUCUUCUGGUUUCUGGCUCCCGUUCUCCCAUA